AGAGUUUGAUCAUGGCUCAGGACGAACGCUGGCGGCGUGCCUAAUACAUGCAAGUCGAGCGAGGUGGAGGAAGCUUGCUUCCAAAACCUAGCGGCGGACGGGUGAGUAACACGUAGGCAACCUACCUGUAAGACUGGGAUAACUUCGGGAAACCGGUGCUAAUACCAGAUAAGCUGUAUCUCUGCAUGGAGAUGCACUAA
rnacentral:rRNA from 1 species